AAUGGUGAGCUUCGACAGUCUCUGUGCCCACCAUCCACUACAGAGUAUUCGUCUCCAGAGCCAAUGUACUCUUCCACCGGCGCCCACAUACCUGUUAACGAACCGCAGUUCAUCUCACAGCCUCCCAAUAUCCUGGAGAAAAUACCUUCAAAAAGAAAACGAGUUCGAGGUCCCAAAAACUGGGAGUUCCUGAUCCGGCUACUGGCAGGACAAGCGAACGAACCCGUCUUUAAUUCGCUGGGAAGAUGAGUCUACGGCGACCUUCCGUCUGGUUCAGCCUGAAAAAAUCGCACAGAUGUGGUCCACACGAACGCCAGAUUCGCCUCCUUUAACUUAUAACAAUUUUGCUAGAGGUCUCAGGUACCACUAUAGCAGAGGCGCCUUACAACCAGUGUCAGAAAAGCAGCUGGUGUACCGAUGUGGGCCCAAGGCUCUCCAGUACCUGAUCGACCUGCGCAAGGGUUCUUCCUAUGAAGAUGUUUAGGAUGAGUAAGAC